rnacentral:rRNA from 1 species
AUGCCGGGAGCCGUGAAGGUGUUCGGGUCGCCGACGUCGUCGGAGGUCGCCCGCGUCCUGGCGUGCCUCUUCGAGAAGGAUGUCGAGUUCCAGCUCAUCCGCGUCGACUCCUUCCGCGGCCCCAACCGCAUGCCCCAGUACCUCAAGCUGCAGCCGCACGGCGAGGCGCUCACCUUCGAGGACGGCAGCGUCACCCUCGUCGAGUCGAGGAAGAUCCUGAGGCACAUCGCCGACAAGUACAAGAGGCAGGGGAACCUGGACCUCAUCGGGACGGGGGCGCUGGAGCGCUCGUCAAUCGAGCAGUGGCUGCAGACGGAGGCGCAGAGCUUCGACGUGCCCAGCGCCGACAUGAUCUACAGCCUCGCCUACCUGCCGCGCACCAUGCCGCUCGACGGGAGGAAUGACGGCGGCGCCGGCAGGCAGCAGAAGCAGCAGCGGGACAUGAUGAUGAGCCCGUCCCACAUGCAGAAGGUGGAGGAGAUGAAGCAGCUGUUCGAGAAGAGCAGCAGGGAUCUGAGCAAGGUGCUGGACAUCUACGACCAGCGGCUUGAGGAGGCCGAGUACCUCGCCGGCGACAAGUUCACCCUUGCUGACCUCUCCCACAUGCCCAACGCCGACCGCCUCGCCUCCGACGAGCGCUCUGCCCGCCUCAUCCAGUCCCGCAGGAACGUCAGUCGCUGGUGGGCCGACGUCUCGAGCCGCGAGUCCUGGGUGUACGUCAAGAGCCUGCAGCGCCCGCCGUCCGCCGAGGCGCCAUUCUGA